ACCAUAAUUGAUAAUUUAUUUCGAAAAAAGGGGAAAAAAAACCUUCACCCAUCAAACUCCAUCUCUUCAUCAACAACCAUUUUUCGUCAUAAUCUGCAACAAAAACAAAAACACACGUCUAUUGGCAUUGGAGUUUUCUUUUCUCCUCGUAUUUCAAACAAGCAAAAAAAACUAUUCGAUUAUCUUUUGAUUCAUCCUUGCCAAAUGAAUCAAUGAUUUGGUAACUCUGAUAGGAGUAAGGAGAGAAUCCCUCAUGGGGUCCGCAAAGGGAUUAACAAAUGGGCGAGGCGGGCAUCCUCUGUUUUCCUUUGGAGUUAUGACUGAUGUCCAGUAUGCUGAUAUCCCUAAUGGCCACUCGUUCCUCGGAGUUCCACGGUUUUAUCGACAUAGUAUGCUCGUCUUGCAAAGGGCAGUCAAGAGCUGGAACAACAACAAGAAUAUUAACUUCGCCAUUCAUUUCGGAGACAUUGUUGAUGGGAAAUGUCCCAAGGAUCAAUCUCUAAAUGCUGUCAAAAAAGUGGUUGGUGAGUUUGAAAAUUUUAAGGGUCCUGUUUAUCAUAUGAUUGGGAAUCAUUGUCUUUACAAUCUCCCAAGGGAUAAGUUACUUCCUUUAUUGAAGAUCCCGAAUCUUGAUGGCGGUCGUGCCUACUACGAGUUUUCACCGGCACCGGGAUACAGAUUUGUUGUAUUGGAUGGUUAUGAUAUCAGUGCAAUCGGAUGGCCUCAUGACCAUCCAAAAACAUUGGAGGCAUUGAAGUUCUUGAGAGAAAGAAACCCAAACUCCGAUAAAAACAGCCCAAACGGACUCGAGGGACUUGAUAGAAGGUUCCUUAUGUUUAAUGGAGCUGUUGGGGAAGAGCAAAUGGAAUGGCUAGAUAGUGUACUUCGAGAAGCAACAAAUAUGAAACAGAAAGUAGUUGUAUGUUGUCAUUUGCCUCUAGAUCCGGGUGCUUCGAGCCAAGAGCCACUUCUAUGGAAUUACGAUGAAGUAAUGGAUGUUAUUCAUCGAUAUGAUUGUGUGAAGAUUUGUCUAGCAGGACACGAUCAUGAAGGAGGACAUUCGCUUGAUUCUCACGGGAUUCAUCAUCGAGUGCUCGAAGCUGCCUUGGAAUGCCCGCCGGGUACUGAUGCAUUUGGAUAUAUAGAGGUUUAUGACAACAUGUUAUCACUCGUUGGAACAGAUCGAAUGAAAAGCACCAACAUUCAUUUCAAUCCUUAUUAAACGAGUUACAACCGAGGUAAUGGAUGUGAUUCAUCGAUACGAUUGUUUGAAAGUUUGUCUUGCAGGACAGGAUAUUUAUGAUGGAGGGCAUUCAAUCGAUCCUCACAGAAUUCAUCAUCGAGUGCUUGAAGCUGCCUUGGAAUACCCUCCAGAAGCCCAUCAAGGAAACGAUGGAGAAAACGCUGAAGCAAACGGAUGCGAUAUCGAGCGAGACAUGGCGUCCGCUGAUGGCCUGGAUUUCGAAGAGGUUGGUAGUCUUUUUGGCAUCAGUAUUUUGACCGUAAGCCACUUCGUGAUCAUUGGCGUCCAGUGCGUAGGCUCGGACGAAGUAUGUGGCAGUCGGCACGUCUCGCUCAAUGGUCCAUUCCAAAGUUUGGUUGCCGGUGGUGUAGGGCAUUUUAACGAUCUUGAAUUGGCAAGUUUUGUCUUUGGAAAGAUGCUCCUCGGUUUUCCUCCAGGCGCGGUCAACCUGGCUAAUGGGUGCGUAGCAUAACUGAACCUUGAUUGUCUUAUAGGCCGAGUCGGUCCCUGCUGGGAGACUCUGGUUCAGCCCCCAUCUCACUGUUAUUUUGUCUUCCCCAGCUCUAAGAACUGCACAAUUUAAUCAUCUUAACCAAAUGACUCGAGAUAUAAAAAAUAAAUAAAUGAUUAAAGUUUUAAAUUUUAAUUAAA